UACGUAGGGUGCAAGCGUUGUCCGGAAUUAUUGGGCGUAAAGAGCUCGUAGGCGGUCUGUCGCGUCGGCUGUGAAAACUCGGGGCUCAACUCCGAGCCUGCAGUCGAUACGGGCAGACUAGAGUGCGGUAGGGGAGACUGGAAUUCCUGGUGUAGCGGUGAAAUGCUCAGAUAUCAGGAGGAACACCGGUGGCGAAGGCGGGUCUCUGGGCCGUAACUGACGCUGAGGAGCGAAAGCGUGGGGAGCAAACAGG
rnacentral:rRNA from 1 species